UAGGAUAGAGGCCUACCAUGGUGGUAACGGGUAACGGGGUGUUAGGGCACGACACCGGAGAGGGAGCCUGAGAAACGGCUACCACAUCCAAGGAUGGCAGCAGGCGCGCAAAUUACCCAAUCCCGACACGGGGAGGUAGUGACAAUAAAUAACAAUACGGGGUUCUUUCGGAUCUCGUAAUUGGAAUGAGUACAAUUUAAAUCUCUUAACGAGGAACAAUUGGAGGGCAAGUCUGGUGCCAGCAGCCGCGGUAAUUCCAGCUCCAAUAGCGUAUAUUAAAGUUGUUGCAGUUAAAAAGCUCGUAGUUGAAUUUCGGGGUUAGUAGGUUGGUCAUGCCUCUGGUAUGUACUGGUCUCACUGAUUCCUCCUUCCUGAUGAACCGUAAUGCCAUUAAUUUGGUGUUGCGGGGAAUUUGGACUGUUACUUUGAAAAAAUUAGAGUGUUUAAAGCAAGCUAACGCUUGAAUACAUUAGCAUGGAAUAAUGAAAUAGGACGUUCGAUCCUAUUUUGUUGGUUUCUAGGAUUGACGUAAUGAUUAAUAGGGAUAGUUGGGGGCAUUAGUAUUCAAUUGUCAGAGGUGAAAUUCUUGGAUUUAUUGAAGACUAACUACUGCGAAAGCAUUUGCCAAGGAUGUUUUCAUUAAUCAAGAACGAAAGUUAGGGGAUCGAAGACGAUCAGAUACCGUCGUAGUCUUAACCAUAAACUAUGCCGACUAGGGAUCGGAU
rnacentral:rRNA from 1 species